UACGUUCCCGGGCCUUGUACACACCGCCCGUCACACCACGAAAGUUGGUAACACCCGAAGCCGGUGGCCUAACCCCUUGGGGAAGGGAGCCGUCGAAGGUGGGAUCAGCGAGUUGGGGUG
rnacentral:rRNA from 1 species